rnacentral:rRNA from 1 species
UACAGAGGUGGCAAGCGUUGUUCGGAAUUACUGGGCGUAAAGGGCGCGUAGGCGGUCUUGCAAGUCCCGUGUGAAAUCCCUCGGCUCAACUGAGGAACUGCACGGGAAACUGCUUGGCUUGAGUUCGGGAGAGGGAAGCGGAAUUCCGGGUGUAGCGGUGAAAUGCGUAGAUAUCGGGAGGAACACCAGUGGCGAAGGCGACUACCUGGCCCAUUCUUGACGCUGAGGCGCGAAAGCUAGGGGAGCGAACGGG